AAGUCGACAUCAGGUUGCUUGUUUGAGUUUCUUAUUCUGCGAACGUGAAAUGCAAUUCACGCCUAACUUGAAGAGCAGGGAAUGAAUUGUCGAGUUCCGUUUGUGGUGAAGAUUCCAACAAAUAGUGUGCCAACUUCUCUUAAACUCCUAAUUAUAUUUGGAAGUUCUGCUUUGUUACUUGAUUGGCAGUCCUUCAAGGAAAGAGACAUACUG
rnacentral:lncRNA from 1 species